rnacentral:rRNA from 1 species
UGGGGAAUAUUGGACAAUGGGGGGAACCCUGAUCCAGCCAUGCCGCGUGUGUGAAGAAGGCCUUAUGGUUGUAAAGCACUUUAAGCGAGGAGGAGGGUACUGGUAUUAAUACUACCAGCUACUGGACGUUACUCGCAGAAUAAGCACCGGCUAACUCUGUGCCAGCAGCCGCGGUAAUACAGAGGGUGCGAGCGUUAAUCGGAUUUACUGGGCGUAAAGCGUGCGUAGGCGGCUAAUUGAGUCGGAUGUGAAAUCCCCGAGCUUAACUUGGGAAUUGCAUUCGAUACUGGUUAGCUAGAGUGUGGGAGAGGAUGGUAGAAUUCCAGGUGUAGCGGUGAAAUGCGUAGCGAUCUGGAGGAAUACCGAUGGCGAAGGCAGCCAUCUGGCCUAACACUGACGCUGAGGUACGAAAGCAUGGGGAGCAAACAGG